AUUGAACGCUGGCGGCAGGCCUAACACAUGCGAGUCGAGCGGAUGAAGGGAGCUUGCUCCUGGAUUCAGCGGCGGACGGGUGAGUAAUGCCUAGGAAUCUGCCUGGUAGUGGGGGAUAACGUCCGGAAACGGGCGCUAAUACCGCAUACGUCCUGAGGGAGAAAGUGGGGGAUCUUCGGACCUCACGCUAUCAGAUGAGCCUAGGUCGGAUUAGCUAGUUGGUGGGGUAAAGGCCUACCAAGGCGACGAUCCGUAACUGGUCUGAGAGGAUGAUCAGUCACACUGGAACUGAGCCACGGCCCUGACUCCUACGGGAGGCAGCAGUGGGGAAUAUUGGACAAUGGGCGAAAGCCUGAUCCAGCCAUGCCGCGUGUGUGAAGAAGGUCUUCGGAUUGUAAAGCACUUUAAGUUGGGAGGAAGGGCAGUAAGUUAAUACCUUGCUGUUUUGACGUUACCAACAGAAUAAGCACCGGCUAACUUCGUG
rnacentral:rRNA from 1 species